GCCAGCCUCAGCCUGGCUGAAGAGGACCUCCCAGCACCAGGCCAGGGGAAGGUGGACAGGCUCUGCAAGUCCGACCUGGGUGCCCCAGAGAGCUGCUCCGGGAAAGACGUUUACCUGCUGCCCAGAGCUGGGACUGCAGACCCUGAUUGGCGAGGGCUUGGAGAGUAGCUGAGAACCUUCCCUUCAGCUACUGAAGACCAGACAGGGCUUUCUGUAUCACGCUGCCUGACGAUGAUGAGGGUGCAGUGACUAAGAGUGCAGAUGAAAGGCCCAGCUCUCCAACCAGGUGGAUGGAUUUGCAAGGAGCUUCUAUCUGGGCGUGGUGGCUCAUGCCUGUAAUCCCAGCACUUUGGGAGGCUGGUCUUGAACUCCUGACCUCAGGUGAUCCCCCCCACCUUGGCCUCCCAAAGUGCUGGGAUUACAGAGGUGGCUCUUUUAAUUGACUCCUCUCCAGGCAUCUCUCCUUCCAGCCACAGAGCCUGGCCUGAUGGUCCCAGGGCCCCAGGGCCCCAGGUGAAGGCCUCUCUCCUCCCCCACUCAGGUCUGACCAGCUCUGUUUCCAUCCUGGUGUGGGCACAAGGUCUCUUGCUGCAGCUGGGCCAGUUUGCUGACCUUCUCAGCUCCUUCUCUUAGACUGGAGAGGCCUGGAAGGGUGCCCGAGGGAGGGUCUGGGCUGCUCUCCUGGGCUCCUCCCCUCCACUCCAGGACUCUGGCUGGAGCCUGGUCAGGGUCCUUACUGAGUUCUCAGCCAAGCGCCAGCCCUGUGAUGGCCUGAGGGGUCUGGUGGGGAAGCCCCAAAGUGAGGGCUCCAUAGCCCUCACUGUCCCUCCCCCAGCAUUGUGCAGUGCCGGCGGUCUCUGAGUUCUUCUGGGUAGCCUUUCUACCACAUCCUCUUGCCUACUUUCACCAGGUGGCCAAGGGACACUAAAAAAGGCAGUGAAUAGCUAGAGGACCACUCUUGAAAAUCAGCCUGCCUUCCUCCUGGUGCCAGCUCCUGUCCCUCCGGCCUCCUUUUCAUAGAAUUCUACAACAGGAGGAAACAGAGAGGUCAUCUCCUCCACCUUCACCAAGUUUCCAGAACGGAUGGGUUAGAGGGAUCUGGCGUUCUCUGAGGCUUCGGGCCAAACCUUGGACAUUGGGCUGGCCAGAGAUCUUGCUGGGGUUGCCUUGGGAAUUGUAUAUCCAUUGGGAGCACUAGCCCUGAACACCUGGGGCUCCCCACCUGCUAGGAGCUGGGAGGACUCUGGUGUUCCCUGCAACCCCCCAGGGUCUGGGUGGACGGAAUGGCAGCCCAGGACUGUUCCCCAGGCUGACCUGGACUCUGAUGAGAGCCAAGAGUGGACCUAGCUGUCAUUUAGAUCCCUGGGGGAGCCUUCACAGUAGCUGCCAAGCAGAGGUCCUGGCACUGGGGAGGGUUCUCACACGUAGGAGGGGCAGUACUUAAGCAAGUAACAGUGGAGAGGGCACUGGAUUUGACAUCAGCUGAGAGGUGGUCCGUUUCUGCUUCUCUCACUGCUUAUCUGUGAUCUGAGGCAAGCCUAAACUCCUCUACAGCUUAGUUUACUCAUCUGGAAAGUGUGGUAUAUUUUAUUUUACCUGCCUUACAUCUGAGGCAUGGAGGAAGGACGGAAUGAGAUCACCUAUUAAAAUGCAUUUU
rnacentral:lncRNA from 1 species